GGACGUCUUCGGCGUUCGA
rnacentral:snRNA from 1 species